AGCGAACGCUGGCGGCAGGCUUAACACAUGCAAGUCGAGCGGGCGUAGCAAUACGUCAGCGGCAGACGGGUGAGUAACGCGUGGGAACAUACCUUUUGGUUCGGAACAACACAGGGAAACUUGUGCUAAUACCGGAUAAGCCCUUACGGGGAAAGAUUUAUCGCCGAAAGAUUGGCCCGCGUCUGAUUAGCUAGUUGGUGAGGUAACGGCUCACCAAGGCGACGAUCAGUAGCGGUCUGAGAGGAUGAUCAGCCACAUUGGGACUGAGACACGGCCCAAACUCCUACGGGAGGCAGCAGGUGGGGAAUAUUGGACAAUGGGCGCAAGCCUGAUCCAGCCAUGCCGCGUGAGUGAU
rnacentral:rRNA from 1 species